CAGUCGCCGCGGGAAUACGGAGGAUCCGAGCGUUAUCCGGAAUUAUUGGGUUUAAAGGGUGCGUAGGCGGAUAGAUAAGUCAGUGGUGAAAGACGGUGGCUCAACCAUCGCAGUGCCGUUGAUACUGUUUAUCUUGAAUAUGGAUGAGGUAGGCGGAAUGUGGCAAGUAGCGGUGAAAUGCAUAGAUAUGCCACAGAACACCGAUUGCGAAGGCAGCUUACCAAGGCAAAAUUGACGCUGAGGCACGAAAGCGUGGGGAUCGAACAGGAUUAGAUACCCCUGUAGUCCCUGUCUCUUAUAC
rnacentral:rRNA from 1 species